GGAGUUUGGGCCGUGUCUCAGUCCCAAUGUGGCCGAUCACCCUCUCAGGUCGGCUACUGAUCGUCGUCUUGGUAGGCCGUUACCCCACCAACAAACUAAUCAGACGCGGGUCCAUCUUAAACCGAUGAAUCUUUUCCCACUGUGCCAUGCGGCACUGUGGGCUUAUGCGGUAUUAGCGGUCGUUUCCAACCGUUAUCCCCCACGUCUAAGGCAGGUUACCCACGCGUUACUCACCCG
rnacentral:rRNA from 1 species